rnacentral:sRNA from 1 species
GUGAUCAGGGGGUACACUCAAGCUGUGGGUCCCUUAGCCCAGCCUUGAGAUCCCAGGAAGGUCUGCAGCCUGAAAGGGGCCUUGAAAGGUGCAUAGUUUCUCUGAAAAGCAUCACCCAGGUCAGAAUGAAAGGAAACUCUCUGUGCAGACCGCUGUAUGUGGGACCUUUGAAGACAGUCAAAUAGUGUUCAAUUCUAUAUCUGUAGAUUCUAGCCUUGGGGGUCUUUCACGAUCCAGCACUGUGGCCAGCCUCGACACAGAUUCCACCAAAAGCUCAGGACAAAGCAACAGUAAUUCAGAUACCUGCGCAGAAUUUCGAAUAAAAUAUGUUGGUGCCAUUGAGAAACUGAAACUCUCUGAGGGAAAGGACCUUGAAGGGCCAUUAGACCUGAUAAAUUAUAUAGACGUUGCCCAGCAAGAUGGAAAGUUGCCUUUUGUUCCUCCGGAGGAAGAAUUUAUUAUGGGAGUUUCCAAGUAUGGCAUAAAAGUAUCAACAUCAGAUCAAUAUGAUGUUUUGCACAGGCAUGCUCUCUACUUAAUAAUCCGGAUGGUGUGUUACGAUGA